rnacentral:rRNA from 1 species
GAUGAACGCUGGCGGCGUGCCUAAUACAUGCAAGUCGAGCGAACGGACGAGAAGCUUGCUUCUCUGAUGUUAGCGGCGGACGGGUGAGUAACACGUGGAUAACCUACCUAUAAGACUGGGAUAACUUCGGGAAACCGUAGCUAAUACCGGAUAAUAUUUUGAACCGCAUGGUUCAAAAGUGAAAGACGGUCUUGCUGUCACUUAUAGAUGGAUCCGCGCUGCAUUAGCUAGUUGGUAAGGUAACGGCUUACCAAGGCAACGAUGCAUAGCCGACCUGAGAGGGUGAUCGGCCACACUGGAGCUUAGACACGGUCCAGACUCCUACGGGAGGCAGCAGUAGGGAAUCUUCCGCAAUGGGCGAAAGCCUGACGGAGCAACGCCGCGUGAGUGAUGAAGGUCUUCGGAUCGUAAAACUCUGUUAUUAGGGAAGAACAUAUGUGUAAGUAACUGUGGACAUCUUGACGGUACCUAAUCAGAAAGCCACGGCUAACUACGUG